rnacentral:lncRNA from 1 species
CACAGUUACCUGGCAACAGCCAGGUAUGCUCCUCCCCACAGUUACUGGGCAACAGCCAGAACCACCAAGGUACUAGAGAACUUUAUGAAAAAACAGUGAUGACUACAGAACAAUUACUAACAGCCCCAGUGCUCUUUUCUACUGGAAAAUCCCAGCAUGCAGCUAUACAGCACCUCUGCUGGACUUCUUACCGCCUACAGUGAAUAGUAUCAGAGCACUUGAAUACUCACAGUUCUGUGUAAACCUCAGAUUGUAACACAGCUAGGACACAUCCAGGAUCUUCCAGGUUUUGUCUGGAGGCCAACAGGGAGAAAGCAGAUGCCCAUUUUGUCACUUGGCCAGGUGACAACAAAGGAUGCUCCUGACCCCUACCAGAACUUGGAGAACUUUCGAGUUCUCAUCAGGAUGCUGAACUGGCUGUGGGUAUAUGGGCCUCCCAUGAACAGGGAGGAUGGCAGUCUUAGACAGCCUUUAGGUUUGUUCCCUGCCUGCCACUCCUCACCCCCCAAGGGAAGUUCUGUGUCUGUGUGUAAAGAAAUGCUCCAAGUCUACUGCCAGAUUCUGAUUGGGAUGCCACCAAGAGGCCACAAGAGAGAACACAAAUUUAUCUAAGAAGCCAGAGAGCACCAGUUCACAGUGAAUAUGACUUUUAUUAACUAAGCUGCCCCUGACACCCAUUGAGAGCUUCAGCCACUGAACAGCUUUGCAGCAUGUCUCUGGCACUCAGAAGCCAGCCCCUAUUUGCCUUUGAAUGGCAAGACUUGGAGAAAGGAUUCAAAAGACAACUGACUUAGACAUCAAGGAUUCAAGAACUCAAGAUACUCUAUGAGGACUUGGAAAGCCUCCAUUUUCUCUGCUACCUGCUUUGAACGGAUUGAGUUGCUCCUGCUAUGGGAAUCCUAAUGGAAGAAGCUAUUUUUAUCUUGGUGAUAAACCAAUAAACUCCAGUGGGUACCUCCAGCUGCCUGGUUAGAAUUAUCAUUGAUGGCUAAAAAUACCACUCUUUUGUGGGGAAGAUCCAGAGGUUCAAAGAACAUGGCAAUUUCUGCAGGAUUGCUGGUGCACUUAAUGAACUGGGUGACUUCAGGGCUGAUGAAGGUACAUAUUGGGGUACAUAUUCAAGGGGGCCUGCCAAGACAUGCUGUCAGAUGCCCCGGAAGCAAACCAUCCUUAGCCUCCCAGUUCCAUCAACCCAAAGGCAAGUAUGGAAAUUUCUGGGGUCUGCUGGGUUUUAUAGACUUUGGGUGCUAGGGUUCACUGAGAUAGCCAAACCAUUAUAUGAGACCACCAUGGGCGAAGAAGAGAAUAGACCCUUGAGAUACACACGGCUUUUAAGACUCUAGGAAAGCCUUAUUGGAGGCAUGGGCCUUUGCCUUCCUGAACAUUCACAAACGUUUCCACCUGUAUGUGAGAGAAAGGGCAAAGAGAAUGGUCACCCAAACUUUGAGACUUUGGAAAAGACCUGCGGCUUAUUUAUCUAAAAAGCUGGACCCAGUGGCCCAAAGAUGGCCAGCCUGCAUCUGAAUCAGAAUUGCCACUAUCCUGCUAAUCAAGAAUGCAGACAACAUAACAAUGGGGCAGGAACUUGUUAUCACCAUCCCCAGUGCUAUUGAGAGGACCCUCAAGAAUCAACCCAUCCAGUGGCUUUCCAAUGCUAAACUGGUACACUUUUGGGUUCUAUUUUUGAAUUUCUCUCACUUAGGAUACAACCCAUUAUCUGCCCCAAUCCCAGUCAUCCUGCUACCAGACAGAGCCUCAGAUGUGCAGCAUGACUGCUCCAUAUUUCUGGCGCACAUUCAGAACACCAUGCCUGAUUUGACUGAAAUAUCCUGGCCAGAUGUGGAACCUAUCUUCUUCAAGGAUGGGAGAAGCUUCAUCUAGAAUGGAAUCAGGGCUGGAAACACAUUCUAUGCUUUAGGUACCCCCUUUAUUUUGAGAUCCUCUAUGGGAGAAUAUCAUAUUGUCUGAACUCUAGUCUGACAUCUUAGGUAACAAUGUCUGGAUUAAGAGACAUAAUCACAAGACUCUGGAACCUCCCUAAAAAGGACCUCACACCAUGAUCAUGACCACACCAAUAGCUGUUAAAGUGGAUGUGGUCAGUACAUGGAUAUAACACUCUCACGUUAAGCCUGCGAGGAGACAGAAGAUGUAUUGUGAAAUAUUAAAAAAUACAUUCCAUACUAUCUCUGGCAAGUUACUGGUCGGCCUUGUUCUUAUCUCAUGAAGACUCUUUCACCCAGAGCUGCAAAAUCUCUCCACCCAGGCCGGUUCUCUCUGUGACACAGGAAUGGCUGGAGCUCCUAGUGUAUGGACCUCAGAAACAUCUCAAGGAUUUAAAAAACCCCAUCACUGAAAGGAGGGAUGAGAAGGCCAGGCUGACUCCAUGACAGACUUCAAUUUCGCAGUUAAGGAGACUAGGCCUAAGAAAUGGGCAAGUCCAGGCAAUUCACUUACUAAUAGAAACAAAACCCCAGGCUUCAGCCUCAUACACCAUGGUAUUUCCAGAAUUCCUAGAGAUAUAAUAAGAUAAAGCUCAUCUCCACUGGAGUUACAAUGUGCUUUAAAUGGAGCCUGGGAGCUCACUUGAUUGUCUCUCUUGGUAAUGGGAGACCCUAGCAGGCUGGGCUUCUGCAGAAUAAAACACUCUUUGCUUUUACAUACUAUUUGAGCC